UUCUCAUCCGAUCACCGAAGUUAAGCAACUCUGAAACUGGUUAGUACCUAUAUGGGUGACCGCUCGUGAAUACCAGGUGCUGUAAG